rnacentral:rRNA from 1 species
CGUGAAGGCGGCUAUUUAAGUCAUCUGUUAAAGAGCUCAGCUUAACUGAGCAAAUGCAGGCGAUACCGAAAAGCUAGAGUACAGAAGAGAAAGGUAGAAUUCUCGGAGUAGCGGUAAAAUGCGUAGAUCUCGAGAGGAAUACCGGUUGCGAAGGCGGCCUUUUGGUCUGUAACUGACGCUCAAGCGCGAAAGCGUGGGGAGCAAACA